rnacentral:lncRNA from 1 species
CUAGACAGAAAAUUACCGGGCCUGCUAUUCUGAAGUUGCCAUACUAAACAUACUAGAAUUACCCAGGUCUACUAUUCUGAAAGUGCCAGUGAGACACAUUCAUCCCUUGUAGAAUUGAAGUUGCCAUGCAAAAUAGACCGGAAUUACUGGUCUUAUUCUAAAUUUGACAUGCAAAAUAGACAGGAUAUACCAGACCUACUAUUAUGAAACUACGAGUGAGACAUUUAUCCCUUCUAGAUGUGAAGUUAUAAUGCUGAUUAGACAAAAAUUACCAAGCGUACUAUUCUGAAGUUGCCAUGCUAAACAGACUAGAAUUAUCAGACCUAAUAUUAUGAAACUGCCAGCGAGACACAUUCAUCCCUUAUAUAUUUGAAGUUGCCAUGUAAAAUAGACCGAAAUUACCGGGUUUGCUAUUAUAAAUUUGCCAUGCUAAGUAGACAGGAAAUAUCAUACCUACUAUUCUGAAACUACGAGUGAGACAUUCAUCCCUUCUAUAUGUGAAGUUCUCAUGCUGACUAGACAAAAAUUACCAGGUCUACUAUGUUGAAGUUGGCAUGCUAAAUAGACUAGAAUUAUUAGGCCUACUACUCUGAAACUGCUAGUGAGACACAUUCGCCCUUCUAGAUUUUAAGUUGCCAUGCUAAAAAGACUAAAAUCACUAGGCCUACAAUUCUGAAGUUGGCAUGCUAAAUAGAUUGGAAUUACCGGGCCUUGUAUUAAUUCUAAAGUUGCCAUGCUAAAUAGACUGUAAUUAUCAGGCUAACUAUUUUGAAACUACCAGUGAGGCAUUUAUCCCUUCUAGAUUUGAAAAAUUGAUGUGCUAAAUAGAUUGAAUUACCGGGCCUACUAUUCUUAAACUAUCAUCAUUACAAACCAUGUCAUUCAUGUAGAAUACACUACACGUAGAAAAAGUUUACGCAACUUACAGUUUUCCUCGGACAAAAAUAGGCAUCGCAUUACAAAUAGCGGUACUGAUCACAAACGAAGCUGUCAUAGAAUCUUCAGAAAUUACAGUUUCUGUGGUAAAAAAAACACAAAAAAAAUUAGUCUUGACUCAAGUAACUAUGCUAAUAUACAUAAACUUGCUAGUGAAAUCUAACCGUAAUUGCCAUGAUAUGUACAUGCUAAGUAGGCAUGAAAUAUAAAGUAAGUUAGCAUUUCAUCAAGUUAGCAAUGCAUUGUGAUUGAAACUUCCAUGUUAUACAAAGUCAAGUUGCUAACCAUGGGCCAAAUUUUUUAGCAGUGAGACAUUCAUUCUAGAUUGAAGUUGCCAUUCUAAAUAGACCGAAAUUACUAAAACUACAAUUCUGAAACUACCACUGAGACAUUUGGCCAUUCUAGAUUAAAGUUGCCAUGCUAAACAGACUAGAAUUACCAGACCUACUAUUAUGAAACUACCGGUGAGAAAUGAAGUUGCGACUUUUUGAAACACAAAGUUACCAUGCUAUGAAAUAAAAAGUUGCCACCAUGUCAAACACAAAGUUGCCGUGACGUGCACUAGAAACCUACCAUUCUUUAAGGUUGCAGUUGAUCCAAAAAUGAAGUUACCACAUGACAAUUACAAAACUAUCAGGCAUGAAGUAGUAAACUUGCUACAUGACAAAUGCGCUAGUAAGCUACCAUUCUUCAAGGUUGUCGUGCAUCCAAAAUUGAAGAUACUACAUGGCAAACACAAAACUAUCAAGCAUGAAGCAGAAAAGUUGCCACAUGACAAAUGCACAAAUAAGUUGCAUUUCUCAAAGGUUGGGGUGCAUCCAAAAAUGAAAUUACCAUAUGAAAAACACAAAAACUAACUGACAUGAAGUAGCAAAGUUACCACGUAACUAAUGCACUAGGAAACUUUCAUUCUUUAAGGUUGUUGUGCAUCCAAAAAUGAAGUUAUCACAUGACAAAUAUGAAACUACC